UACGGGGGGAGCAAGCGUUGUUCGGAUUUACUGGGCGUAAAGGGCGCGUAGGCGGCCACCGCAAGUCGAUUGUGAAAUCUCCGGGCUUAACUCGGAAAGGUCAACCGAUACUGCGGGGCUAGAGUGCAGAAGGGGCAACUGGAAUUCUCGGUGUAGCGGUGAAAUGCGUAGAUAUCGAGAGGAACACCUGCGGCGAAGGCGGGUUGCUGGGCUGACACUGACGCUGAUGUGCGAAAGCGUGGGGAGCAAACAGG
rnacentral:rRNA from 1 species